rnacentral:antisense_RNA from 1 species
AUACAAUUUCUUUACCAAUAGAUAAGACUGAAAGCAACACCAGCCAGUCUUGGGAAAUAUAAAAUUGCAAAUAAAUUUUGAUAAUUUUUCAUUUUGUAAAGGAUCUUUCUGCUGAUGCAGCUGUUAAGAGUGUUUCAUAAACUGUGACACUGAGAGGCCAGGUGCAGUGCAUGUAAUCCCAGCACUUUGGGAGACUGAGAUGGGAAGAUCGCUUGAGGCCAGGAGUGCAAGACCAGCCUGGGCAACAUAGCAAGAACUUGACUCUACUAAAAAAAAAAAGGAUCCUUCAACUUCAACAAUAACAACACGAGGGAAGUGAAGAAAAACACUUUCUAAGGAAAUCUCUCUCUGAGCUACCAUCCGGCUAGGGAGAGCCUGAAAGCAGAAUGCUGACUUGACUAGCUCUGGCCAAUAAAGGAAAUCACCAGUGGAAAGGCUACCAGGGGGCUUCCUCAAAAGAGAGGGACGGU